rnacentral:rRNA from 1 species
AGUGAACGCUGGCGGUAGGCCUAACACAUGCAAGUCGAACGGCAGCACAGUAAGAGCUUGCUCUUACGGGUGGCGAGUGGCGGACGGGUGAGGAAUACAUCGGAAUCUACUUUUUCGUGGGGGAUAACGUAGGGAAACUUACGCUAAUACCGCAUACGACCUACGGGUGAAAGCAGGGGAUCUUCGGACCUUGCGCGAUUGAAUGAGCCGAUGUCGGAUUAGCUAGUUGGCGGGGUAAAGGCCCACCAAGGCGACGAUCCGUAGCUGGUCUGAGAGGAUGAUCAGCCACACUGGAACUGAGACACGGGCCAGACGCCUACGGGAGGCAGCAGUGGGGAAUAUUGGACAAGGGGCGCAAGCCUGAUCCAGCCAUACCGCGUGGGUGAAGAAGGCCUUCGGGUUGUAAAGCCCUUUUGUUGGGAAAGAAAAGCAGCAGGUUAAUACCCCGCUGUUCUGACGGUACCCAAAGAAUAAGCACCGGCUAACUUCGU